rnacentral:rRNA from 1 species
GAUUAAGUUAUUAAGGGCGCACGGUGGAUGCCUUGGCACUAGAAGCCGAUGAAGGACGUUACUAACGACGAUAUGCUUUGGGGAGCUGUAAGUAAGCUUUGAUCCAGAGAUUUCCGAAUGGGGAAACCCAGCAUGAGUUAUGUCAUGUUAUCGAUAUGUGAAUACAUAGCAUAUCAGAAGGCACACCCGGAGAACUGAAACAUCUUAGUACCCGGAGGAAGAGAAAGAAAAUUCGAUUCCCUUAGUAGCGGCGAGCGAAACGGGAAGAGCCCAAACCAACAAGCUUGCUUGUUGGGGUUGUAGGACACUCUAUACGGAGUUACAAAGGACGACAUUAGACGAAUCAUCUGGAAAGAUGAAUCAAAGAAGGUAAUAAUCCUGUAGUCGAAAAUGUUGUCUCUCUUGAGUGGAUCCUGAGUACGACGGAGCACGUGAAAUUCCGUCGGAAUCUGGGAGGACCAUCUCCUAAGGCUAAAUACUCUCUAGUGACCGAUAGUGAACCAGUACCGUGAGGGAAAGGUGAAAAGCACCCCGGAAGGGGAGUGAAAUAGAACCUGAAACCGUGUGCUUACAAGUAGUCAGAGCCCGUUAAUGGGUGAUGGCGUGCCUUUUGUAGAAUGAACCGGCGAGUUACGAUUUGAUGCAAGGUUAAGCAGUAAAUGUGGAGCCGUAGCGAAAGCGAGUCUGAAUAGGGCGUUUAGUAUUUGGUCGUAGACCCGAAACCAGGUGAUCUACCCUUGGUCAGGUUGAAGUUCAGGUAACACUGAAUGGAGGACCGAACCGACUUACGUUGAAAAGUGAGCGGAUGAACUGAGGGUAGCGGAGAAAUUCCAAUCGAACCUGGAGAUAGCUGGUUCUCUCCGAAAUAGCUUUAGGGCUAGCCUCAAGUGAUGAUUAUUGGAGGUAGAGCACUGUUUGGACGAGGGGCCCCUCUCGGGUUACCGAAUUCAGACAAACUCCGAAUGCCAAUUAAUUUAACUUGGGAGUCAGAACAUGGGUGAUAAGGUCCGUGUUCGAAAGGGAAACAGCCCAGACCACCAGCUAAGGUCCCAAAAUAUAUGUUAAGUGGAAAAGGAUGUGGCGUUGCCCAGACAACUAGGAUGUUGGCUUAGAAGCAGCCAUCAUUUAAAGAGUGCGUAAUAGCUCACUAGUCGAGUGACACUGCGCCGAAAAUGUACCGGGGCUAAACAUAUUACCGA